UUCUACCAAGUUCCCAAAGUCUUUAACCACUUCCGAAUAUUUAUCGGGUGACGGGAGUACUCCCAUUCCAAUUAUAUUCGUCGGAAAGUCUCGUUUGGGUGUAGUAUCGCGUAUCAACUAAUUCAAGAGUACUCUCAAUUAGCCACCGCACUACGUCCUAAAAGGCCAAGAUGGGUUAAAGGUGACUAAAGGUCCUCAACUUCAAUGGUCACUUGAAAAUAGCAUGCCAAACAUGAGUACUCACGUUGACAACAUAUACUUCCAAGAUCCCUCCGUUGAGUGGGGUUCUCACAUGUGCCAAUACCGAAGAGUACUCUUGG
rnacentral:lncRNA from 1 species